rnacentral:rRNA from 1 species
GUCCAGACUCCUACGGGAGGCAGCAGUGGGGAAUAUUGCACAAUGGGCGAAAGCCUGAUGCAGCAACGCCGCGUGAGUGAUGAAGGCCUUCGGGUUGUAAACCUCUGUCUUUUGGGACGAUAAUGACGGUACCAAAGGAGGAAGCCACGGCUAACUACG